UAAUAAAUUAAACCCUAUGUAUAAGUUUAUAAGUUUUGCCCUAAUACUUCCUCUCACCGCGCCUCACCCCGUUUCCGCCUCUUCUCUUCCCCGAUCGCAUCUCCUCCUCUCCUUAUCACCGCGAAGCUGAACCGCCGUCACCUCUUCUGAUCUCCUCUUCCCUUCCUCUCAAAUUCCACUCUCCGUUGCUUCUCUUCUGCUCAUCUUCAUCCGUCGCAGCCACCUCUCGAUCCCCAAUCGCUUGACAACAGCAGACACUCGAUCGAUUUGCAUGAGCUAUUGAGGGAGUCUCCGGUCUCGACCUCACAUGUGCCCUAACUUCCAUCAUCGACGUCGACUUCUGAUCCAUCGAUGCCGACUCCCGAUCUACUGUUGCCUCCUCCCCAUUUACACGAAGACCUAAUCGGUGAUUCUGUAGUUGUCGCCGCCAUCCCUCCUCACAGCUGUAGCCAUCUCAGAGUCAUUGCCACCCUUUGUGCCAGAGGCAGUGCUCAUCCCAAGAAGCUACUGUUGGAUCACUGUUGCUCCUGUUCGCGUGAGGUCGACCCGAUGAUGCCACCACCAUCGCAAGACGUCAUCGUCAUCGUGAUAUUUCGUCGACGAUUGUAGACUGCCUCUCUUCCCCUUGUAUCUGUGAUGCGUGCCUAUGCUGGUCUUCCCCUUUGUUGUGAGCACAAGUCGAUGCUGCCAACCCUCUCCAGCACAAGCAAGCGACUGUGAUCUUCCUUGUUGACACUCUUUGUCGGUAAUGUUCUCAGUCAAGCCACGUCGGAGCUCUAGCCACUACUGGCACAACCUGACUUGGUCAUUGCUGUCACCUCCAGUCGACCAUCGCCAGCUGUCGUGGGCUACUAUGAGAGAAAAAGCUAUGGAAAAGAGUAAAGAAUGACUAAACUAAGGGGAGCAGCAGGAAAGGCAAUGAUGAUGUGUGUGGAAGUGGCAUGGUGGAAUAGAUCCAUUUAUGUUUUAGAACCUAUAUAUGUCUAAACUUGCAUGUGAACCAUGUUUUGAUUUCAUGUUGGUAUGCCUAUGCUUAAGUUAUAGAAUUAUGAAUCAUGUUCAAGUAUUAUGCAUGAAUACUAGUAUGUAGCAUAUCCAUCAUGUUAUAUGGUUAUAUUACUCACAUGCCAUGUUUA